rnacentral:rRNA from 1 species
AUGCCGCCGCCCAGCUCCUACCUCCCGCUCGCCGCCGCCCCCAUGUCCGACCCCUCCCCCUCCCCGCCCCCCAACCCCCUCGCCGCCGCCUCCUCCUUCCUCCAGCACCACCUCUCCAGCCUCGCCUCACGCUUCGCCGCCCCGCGGCCCGCGCUCGCCGCGGCGCGCCCGCCGGGGCCCCACGGCGCCGCCGCCCAGCCCCUCGCGCUAGGGCCCGACGAGGUCGCGCGCGCGCUCACCGGCACGCCCGUCUUCACCGUCUGCAACUCCAGCAACGAGUUCGUGCUCGUCUCCGACCCCGCCACCGGACUCCGCUCCCUCGGCCUCCUCUGCUUCCGCUCCGAGGACGCCGACGCCCUCCUCUCCCAUGUGAGGACGCGGCAGCCGGUGUUAGGGAAGGGGGCCAAAGUGGUGCCGAUUACGCUAGAUCAGGUUUAUAUGUUGAAGGCCGAAGGUAUCGCAUUCCGCUUCUUACCUGAUCCACUUCAAAUAAAGAAUGCACUGCAGUUGAAAUCUGGCUUAACUGGUUUUGAUGGUGUCCCCGUUUUUCAGUCAGAUCUAUUGGUCGUUAAGAAACAGAAGAAGCGCUAUUGUCCAGUAUACUUUCAAAAGGAGGACAUAGAAAGAGAGCUUAGAAAGGCGUCUAAAUCUUCGAAAGGAUCAGCCUUAUCUAAGCAAAUUAUGGUUGGUAGUUUGGAGGAUGUCUUGAAGAAAAUGGAGAUUAACGACAGAAAUUCUGGUUGGGAUGACUUAAUCUUCAUACCACCUGGAAAGAGCCUCAACCAACAUAUCAAUGAGGUAUCAGCGUAG